UGAGGAAUAUUGGUCAAUGGACGAGAGUCUGAACCAGCCAAGUCGCGUGCAGGAUGACGGCCCUAUGGGUUGUAAACUGCUUUUGUUUGGGAAUGAUCGACAUUACGUGUAAUGUUUUGCAUGUACCAUUCGAAAAAGCCCCGGCUAACUACGUGCCAGCAGCCGCGGUAAUACGUAGGGGGCUAGCGUUGUCCGGAAUCACUGGGCGUAAAGGGUUCGCAGGCGGAAAUGCAAGUCAGGUGUAAAAGGCAGUAGCUUAACUACUGUAAGCAUUUGAAACUGCAUAUCUUGAGAAGAGUAGAGGUAAGUGGAAUUUUUAGUGUAGCGGUGAAAUGCGUAGAUAUUAAAAAGAAUACCGGUGGCGAAGGCGACUGACUGGGCUCAUUCUGACGCUGAGGAACGAAAGCGUGGGUAGCAAACAGG
rnacentral:rRNA from 1 species